GCUAAUGCCGGAUAACAUGUUGAACCGCAUGGUUCUACAGUGAAAGACGGUCUUGCUGUCACUUAUAGAUGGACCCGCGCCGUAUUAGCUAGUUGGUGGGGUAACGGCCUACCAAGGCGACGAUACGUAGCCGACCUGAGAGGGUGAUCGGCCACACUGGAACUGAGACACGGUCCAGACUCCUACGGGAGGCAGCAGUAGGGAAUCUUCCGCAAUGGGCGAAAGCCUGACGGAGCAACGCCGCGUGAGUGAUGAAGGUCUUCGGAUCGUAAAGCUCUGUUGUUAGGGAAGAACAAAUGUGUAAGUAACUGUGCACAUCUUGACGGUACCUAACCAGAAAGCCACGGCUAACUACGUGCCAGCAGCCGCGGUAAUACGUAGGUGGCAAGCGUUAUCCGGAAUUAUUGGGCGUAAAGCGCGCGUAGGCGGUUUUUUAAGUCUGAUGUGAAAGCCCACGGCUCAACCGUGGAGGGUCAUUGGAAACUGGAAAACUUGAGUGCAGAAGAGGAAAGUGGAAUUCCAUGUGUAGCGGUGAAAUGCGCAGAGAUAUGGAGGAACACCAGUGGCGAAGGCGGCUUUCUGGUCUGCAACUGACGCUGAUGUGCGAAAGCGUGGGGAUCAAACAGGAUUAGAUACCCUGGUAGUCCACGCCGUAAACGAUGAGUGCUAAGUGUUAGGGGGUUUCCGCCCCUUAGUGCUGCAGCUAACGCAUUAAGCACUCCGCCUGGGGAGUACGGUCGCAAGACUGAAACUCAAAGGAAUUGACGGGGACCCGCACAAGCGGUGGAGCAUGUGGUUUAAUUCGAAGCAACGCGAAGAACCUUACCAAAUCUUGACAUCCUUUGACCGCUCUAGAGAUAGAGUUUUCCUCUUCGGAGGACAAAGUGACAGGUGGUGCAUGGUUGUCGUCAGCUCGUGUCGUGAGAUGUUGGGUUAAGUCCCGCAACGAGCGCAACCCUUGAACUUAGUUGCCAUCAUUCAGUUGGGCACUCUAAGUUGACUGCCGGUGACAAACCGGAGGAAGGUGGGGAUGACGUCAAAUCAUCAUGCCCCUUAUGAUUUGGGCUACACACGUGCUACAAUGGACAAUACAAAGGGCAGCGAAACCGCGAGGUCAAGCAAAUCCCAUAAAGUUGUUCUCAGUUCGGAUUGUAGUCUGCAACUCGACUACAUGAAGCUGGAAUCGCUAGUAAUCGUAGAUCAGCAUGCUACGGUGAAUACGUUCCCGGGUCUUGUACACACCGCCCGUCACACCACGAGAGUUUGUAACACCCG
rnacentral:rRNA from 1 species